GAACGCGUGGAGCAUGUGGCUUAAUUUGACUCAACGCGGGAAAUCUUACCGGGUCCGGACACACUGAGGAUUGACAGGCAAUAUUAAUACGUGUUCGCACGUAUUAUGUUAAAUAUGCUAGUCCUUUCAUGAUUAUGUGAUAGGUGGUGCAUGGCCGUUCUUAGUUCGUGGAGUGAUCUGUCUGCCUAAUUGCGUUUCACUAAGGGCCUAUAAAUUUACGUGUGUUGCGGCACUUUGACCCCUUUCUUCGGAAAGCGCGUGUCUUAGUUUGCUUUGCUCACACAAUUAGGUCCUGAAAGCAACGAACGUGACCGCAACCUCUUGUUGCCUUUAUACCAAACAUGUUUGUCAUUUUUAUGGCAUUCAUGAAAAAAGGCUUUUUAAACUAGAGGGACCGCUGUUACUUUCUUAAACCAGAGGAAGGUUGCGGCAAUAACAGGUCUGUGAUGCCCUUAGAUGUUCCGGGCUGCACACGUGCUACAAUGAUUAUUGCAGUGAGCAUCUCAUUUUUACACACCGCAUGCGCGAGUCCAUUUAUUCACUUCGGUGCUUUAAAUGUGUAUUUCUGCGCGCGGUAAAGCCUGCUUCGAAAGUAAGCGGGUAAUCAAUUAGAAGUAAUGAUUUCCUUUUUAGCACACAUAUAUACGGCGUCUAUACCCGGGUUACCUUGUUGUAACUUUUGUGUGUAUAGAUGUUUUUUCCGUAUGUGCGAUUGUCAAUUCAUGGUGGGGACAGACCAUUGUUAAUUGUUGGUCUCGGUCUUAACUAGGAAUGCCUUGUACGGGUCUUUGGUUCAACAAACCACCCGGAAUACGUCCCUGCCCUUUGUACACACCGCCCGUCGCUCUUACCGAUGGACUUCUCUGUGAGUUUGAGGGACUGGGAACGCAGAAUUUAUUCUGCACACCUAUGGAAACUUAAACGAACAGUGUGGUCUAAAGGAAAGAGAAGUCGUAACAAGGCAUCGGUAGGUGAACCUGCAGAAGGAUCA
rnacentral:rRNA from 1 species